AGUGAACGCUGGCGGCGUGCCUAAUACAUGCAAGUCGAACGGAGUGGCGCACGGGUGAGUAAUGUAUAGCUAAUCUGCCCUACACUAGAGGACAACAGUUGGAAACGGCUGCUAAUACUCUAUAGUGUAGGAUGAGGCUAUAUUGUAUCAGCUAGUUGGUGAGGUAAUGGCUCACCAAGGCUAUGACGCAUAACUGGUCUGAGAGGAUGAUCAGUCACCCUUGAACGGAGACACCGUCCAGACGCCUACGGGAGGAAGCAGUAGGAGAUGUUGCUCAAUGGGGGAAACCCUGAGGCGGCAUCGCCGCGUGGAGGAUGACACUUUGCGGAGCGUAAACUCCUUUUGUUAGGGAAGCGGUACCUAACGAAUAAGCACCGGCUAACUCCGUGCCAGCAGCCGCGGUAAUUC
rnacentral:rRNA from 1 species